AAAUUGAAGAGUUUGAUCAUGGCUCAGAUUGAACGCUGGCGGCAGGCCUAACACAUGCAAGUCGAACGGUAACAGGAAACAGCUUGCUGUUUCGCUGACGAGUGGCGGACGGGUGAGUAAUGUCUGGGAAACUGCCUGAUGGAGGGGGAUAACUACUGGAAACGGUAGCUAAUACCGCAUAACGUCGCAAGACCAAAGAGGGGGACCUUCGGGCCUCUUGCCAUCGGAUGUGCCCAGAUGGGAUUAGCUAGUAGGUGGGGUAACGGCUCACCUAGGCGACGAUCCCUAGCUGGUCUGAGAGGAUGACCAGCCACACUGGAACUGAGACACGGUCCAGACUCCUACGGGAGGCAGCAGUGGGGAAUAUUGCACAAUGGGCGCAAGCCUGAUGCAGCCAUGCCGCGUGUAUGAAGAAGGCCUUCGGGUUGUAAAGUACUUUCAGUGGGGAGGAAGGGAGUAAAGUUAAUACCUUU
rnacentral:rRNA from 1 species